UUUCCGUAGGUGAACCUGCGGAAGGAUCAUUACAAUACGUUCUCACACGUAUCAACCAAACGUUGAACUGUUUAAGCGUCCGAUAGGAUUAUGGGUUAAUGGACCGGCGGCUUAGAGGUGGAUGAUAACACCCAACAUCAAACUACCUUUGUGUGUUUGAGGUGAUCCAAAAGUGCCUCGGUCGGUUCUUGUUUGUGUGCUCCGAAAGGACUACACAUGACAGCCCUUUUCCUAGUUCGCGUAUUUAUCCAUUCAAACACUUUUGCAUCGCCUUUUCCUCAUUUUUAACCGUUUUCACCUUUUACUAUUGUCAAUGAUGAACUCAACACGAAAAGAUGCCUAACGGCGUCGUUUUUCGAUAUUUUACGAAACGUAAGAACAACUCUUAACAACGGAUAUCUUGGCUCUC
rnacentral:misc_RNA from 1 species